UUUAUGGAGAGUUUGAUCCUGGCUCAGAGUGAACGCUGGCGGCGUGCCUAAUACAUGCAAGUCGAACGAUGAAGCUUCUAGCUUGCUAGAAUGCUGAUUAGUGGCGCACGGGUGAGUAACGCAUAGGUCAUGUGCCUCUUAGUUUGGGAUAGCCAUUGGAAACGAUGAUUAAUACCAGAUACUCCCUACGGGGGAAAGAUUUAUCGCUAAGAGAUCAGCCUAUGUCCUAUCAGCUUGUUGGUAAGGUAAUGGCUUACCAAGGCUAUGACGGGUAUCCGGCCUGAGAGGGUGAACGGACACACUGGAACUGAGACACGGUCCAGACUCCUACGGGAGGCAGCAGUAGGGAAUAUUGCUCAAUGGGGGAAACCCUGAAGCAGCAACGCCGCGUGGAGGAUGAAGGUUUUAGGAUUGUAAACUCCUUUUGUUAGAGAAGAUAAUGACGGUAUCUAACGAAUAAGCACCGGCUAACUCCGUGCCAGCAGCCGCGGUAAUACGGAGGGUGCAAGCGUUACUCGGAAUCACUGGGCGUAAAGAGCGCGUAGGCGGGAUAGUCAGUCAGGUGUGAAAUCCUAUGGCUUAACCAUAGAACUGCAUUUGAAACUACUAUUCUAGAGUGUGGGAGAGGUAGGUGGAAUUCUUGGUGUAGGGGUAAAAUCCGUAGAGAUCAAGAGGAAUACUCAUUGCGAAGGCGACCUGCUAGAACAUUACUGACGCUGAUUGCGCGAAAGCGUGGGGAGCAAACAGGAUUAGAUACCCUGGUAGUCCACGCCCUAAACGAUGGAUGCUAGUUGUUGGAGGGCUUAGUCUCUCCAGUAAUGCAGCUAACGCAUUAAGCAUCCCGCCUGGGGAGUACGGUCGCAAGAUUAAAACUCAAAGGAAUAGACGGGGACCCGCACAAGCGGUGGAGCAUGUGGUUUAAUUCGAAGAUACACGAAGAACCUUACCUAGGCUUGACAUUGAGAGAAUCCGCUAGAAAUAGUGGAGUGUCUGGCUUGCCAGACCUUGAAAACAGGUGCUGCACGGCUGUCGUCAGCUCGUGUCGUGAGAUGUUGGGUUAAGUCCCGCAACGAGCGCAACCCCCUUUCUUAGUUGCUAACAGGUCAUGCUGAGAACUCUAAGGAUACUGCCUCCGUAAGGAGGAGGAAGGUGGGGACGACGUCAAGUCAUCAUGGCCCUUACGCCUAGGGCUACACACGUGCUACAAUGGGGUGCACAAAGAGAAGCAAUACUGCGAAGUGGAGCCAAUCUUCAAAACAUCUCUCAGUUCGGAUUGUAGGCUGCAACUCGCCUGCAUGAAGCUGGAAUCGCUAGUAAUCGCAAAUCAGCCAUGUUGCGGUGAAUACGUUCCCGGGUCUUGUACUCACCGCCCGUCACACCAUGGGAGUUGUGUUUGCCUUAAGUCAGGAUGCUAAAUUGGCUACUGCCCACGGCACACACAGCGACUGGGGUGAAGUCGUAACAAGGUAACCGUAGGUGAACCUGCGGUUGGAUCACCUCCUUUCUAGA
rnacentral:rRNA from 1 species